CGGGGGGAGCGAGCGUUGUUCGGAUUUACUGGGCGUAAAGGGCGCGUAGGCGGCCACCGCAAGUCGACUGUGAAAUCUCCGGGCUUAACCCGGAAAGGUCAGCCGAUACUGCGGGGCUAGAGUGCAGAAGGGGCAACUGGAAUUCUCGGUGUAGCGGUGAAAUGCGUAGAUAUCGAGAGGAACACCUGCGGCGAAGGCGGGUUGCUGGGCUGACACUGACGCUGAGGCGCGAAAGCUAGGGGAGCGAACGGGAUUAGAUACCCCGGUAGUCCUAGCCUUAAACGAUGAAUGCUUGGUGUCUGGGGUUUUAUAGUCCCCGGGUGCCGUCGCUAACGCUUUAAGCAUUCCGCCUGGGGAGUACGGUCGCAAGACUG
rnacentral:rRNA from 1 species